AGAUCACAGCCAUGUGUCAGGCUUGUAAGAGACAUGAAUUAUAUGUGAGAUUCAGUGAACAAGGCUGGAAGGACUGGGUAUUGGCUCCUACCUGUUAGUCUGCCUUCUACUGUGAUGGAGAAUGCCUCUACCCUCUGUGUUCCUGCAUGAACUCCACCACCCACACUAUGAUCCAACUAGUGGUUCACCUUCUGAAGCCAGAUGAGGUUCCCAAAGCAUGCUGCGCACCCACCAAGCUCAGUCCCAUCUCUGUACUCUUCUACGCUGACAACAACAACGUGAUCCUAAAGAAGCAUCGAAACAUGGCGGUCAAGACCUGUGAUGCCUGUGACACCAGUGGUAGCCCAUCUAUCUAUUCUACUUAAUUUUAAUCAACUUAAUUGCCAUUGUUCCAAAAGAUACAAACAGGGUAAAAUAACUUGCAACCAGCAGUUGAUAGCAAUAAUCGGUCAAUAUGCUGAUAAAUAGUAUGUAUCUAAUAUAUUGAUUUUGAGUCUGAGAGUGGUAUAUGAACAACACCCAUUGGACCUAUAACCAUACUUCACUUUUGAUUAACUAAACUAUUCAAAUCUACAGUAAUACAGAAUAUUACAUCACCCCUCAUGUCAUAUAUUCUGUGACCAAUCAAAGCUGUAAAGUACUGUAUCAUAAGUAUAUCAAUGCUAAAAUUCUACCCUUUUGAUGACUAUAAUAUCUUGUUGAACCAUGAAUUUGUCAUUGUCUCUUUUAGAUAUACUAAACAUGGUUUGCAAAA